rnacentral:rRNA from 1 species
AUUGAACGCUGGCGGCAGGCCUAACACAUGCAAGUCGAACGAGUGGCGUCCUGGUGAGUAAUGUCUGGGAAACUGCCUGAUGGCGGGGGAUAACUACUGGAAACGGUAGCUAAUACCGCAUACCAUCGGAUGUGCCCAGCUGGGCUUAGCUAUUAGGUGGGGGAAAGGCUCACCUAGGCGACGAUCCCUAGCUGGUCUGAGAGGAUGACCACGCACACUGGAACUGAGACACGGUCCAGACUCCUACGGGAGGCAGAAGUGGGGAAUAGUGCACAAUGGGCGCAAGCCGGAUGCAGCCAUGCCGCGUGUAUGAAGAAGGCCUUCGGGUUGUAAAGUACUGUAAGCGGGGAGGCGUUAACCGCAGAAGAAGCACCGGCUAACUCCGUGCCAGCAGCCGCGGUAAUAC